AGCGAGUAGUGGGAGUUGCAAAAGUGGCACGAUCCCGUUCGGGUCGUAAUCUUAUCAUUCUAGUUUGAGUGGUUAUUUUAAUUUUCUCUAUUAUAAUCUUUUAUUUACCAACAAUCCGAUAGAAAAAUGAGUUAUCCACCGUACCAUCAUGGUCCUGGUUAUCCUCAAUAUCCUGGUGGAACUCCAUAUCCUCAUAAUCCUCCUGGUGGUUAUCCUCCUAGCGGACCAAGAGGGGUUUUUCCUCCAAGUUUAGGCUUCAGACAUGAUGCUCCUAUUUAUAUGCCACGUCCAAAUUAUCCUAAUCCCCCACCUCCAAGUGGGAAUGAUACAUAUUACUCUUCAGGAGUACCUCCAGUAACUACUAGACCUGCUCCAGUACCACCUAUAUCAUCAUCACCUUAUCCAAGUACAUCUCCUUAUCCAAAUACAUCUCCUUAUCCAAAUACAUCUCCUUAUACACAUACAUCUCCUUAUCCAAAUACAUCGCCUUAUCCAAAUUCACCUUCUUAUCCAGGAAUGUCUGGAGCAUCCUCAGCUCCUUAUCCCACAAAUACAACUCAUCACUCAACUCCAUAUCCAAACAAUUCUUUUCCAAUGCCUUCAAAUCCCAAUACACAAUAUCCUUCGCAUCAUCAAGGACAUUUGCGUCCUGGCUCAAGCAUGUAUCCUUCAGCACCAUCAUCUGGAGGUAAUCCCGCUUAUGGGAAUUCAAAUAAUAUGGUCCAUAUGAUGAGAAAGGGAACCCCAACCGUAGUACCUGCACAUCCAUUCGACCCCAAAUCAGAUGCGGAAGUUUUACGAAAAGCUAUGAAAGGUUUCGGAACUGAUGAGAAAAGUAUCAUAAACUGCUUAGCAAGACGAAGUAAUCAACAAAGGCUACAAAUCGCAAUCGAAUUCAAAACUAUGUACGGAAAAGAUUUGGUUAAAGAUCUCAAAAGUGAAACUAGCGGGAGAUUUGAAGAUUUACUAGUAGCUUUAAUGACACCUCUACCUCAAUUUUAUGCUAAAGAAUUAAAUGACGCCAUUAGAGGCUUAGGAACGGAUGAAGAUGUAUUAAUUGAAGUGUUGGGUACAAAGAGUAAUAAUGAAAUUCGCACGAUCCGUCAAGCUUAUACAUCAAUGUAUGGAAGAAAUUUAGAAGAAGAUUUAAAAGGGGACACAUCGGGAACAUUCAAACGACUCAUGGUGUCCUUAUGUAACGCUUGUAGGGACGAGUCAAUGGUGACUAACCAAGCAAACGCAGCUGCAGAUGCCCGAGAAUUACUCAAAGCUGGCGAAUUGAGACUAGGAACUGACGAAUCGACCUUCAACAUGGUGCUUUGCCAGAGGAACUUCGCCCAAUUACGCCUCAUUUUCGAGGAGUAUUAUAAAAUCACCGGUCACGAUAUUGAACAGGCGGUUAAGAAUGAAUUUUCCGGUAAUUCGAGAGACUGCUUGCUAGCCAUUAUUCGAUCAAUUAGAAAUCAACCUGGAUUCUUUGCGAAGUGUUUACAUAACGCAAUUGCUGGCUUGGGUACGAACGAUAAGAAAUUGAUAAGAGUUGUGGUUACCCGUUGCGAAGUUGAUAUGGGCGAAAUCAAACAGAAUUAUUUAGCGCAAUAUGGAAAAACACUCGCGGAUGAUAUUAAGGGCGAUACAUCUGGAGAUUACAAAAAGUGUUUGUUGGCGUUAAUUGGAGAAUAAUCAAUGAUAUUUUAACGAUAUAUAUUCCGUAUAAUGUGCUCGUUUACACACAUUCUCUGACAAUAUUGUACAAAAUGUUUUUUUAUAAAUCUAUAUAUAAUCAUAAUCGCUUUUAACUCCAAUAUUUUUUAUAAUAUCUAUUUGAUAUAAACGUUUUGCUUAAUAUGAUUCUUUAAGAUCGUUCAAUUUUACAAUGUAAUUUAAGCAGACUGAAUAUAUUUUAUUGUUAAUUUACAAUUACACAACAAUCGAAGCUAUUUUAACUGUAAGAGUCUAAAUUUGUUAUUUUUAAGUGUUAUGUAAAAUUUUAUUAUAUAAUAAUCUAUGUGCUAAAGA
rnacentral:misc_RNA from 1 species